rnacentral:tRNA from 1 species
GCCGAUGUAGCUCAACUGGUAGAGCAACUGACUUGUAAUCAGUAGGUUGGGGGUUCAAGUCCUCUCGUCGGCACCA